rnacentral:rRNA from 1 species
GAUGAACGCUAGCGGCAGGCCUAAUACAUGCAAGUCGAGGGGUAGAAGAGGCUUGCUUCUUUGAGACCGGCGCACGGGUGCGCAACGCGUAUGCAACCUACCUUCAUCUGGGGGAUAGCCCGGAGAAAUCCGGAUUAAUACCGCAUAAAAUCACAGGAUGGCAUUAUCCAAUGAUCAAACAUUUAUGGGAUGGAGAUGGGCAUGCGUGUCAUUAGCUAGUUGGCGGGGUAACGGCCCACCAAGGCGACGAUGACUAGGGGAUCUGGGAGGAUGGACCCCCACACUGGUACUGAGACACGGACCAGACUCCUACGGGAGGCAGCAGUAAGGAAUAUUGAUCAAUGGAGGCAACUCUGAACCAGCCAUGCCGCGUGCAGGAAGACUGCCCUAUGGGUUGUAAACUGCUUUUAUUCGGGAAUAAACCUUAUUACGUGUAAUAAGCUGAAUGUACCGAAGGAAUAAGGAUCGGCUAACUCCGUGCCAGCCGCCGCCGUAAAAC